UACAGAGGGUGCGAGCGUUAAUCGGAAUUACUGGGCGUAAAGCGCGCGUAGGCGGCUUUGCAAGUCGGGUGUGAAAUCCCCAGGCUUAACCUGGGAACUGCAUUCGAGACUGCAUUGCUAGAGUAUGGGAGAGGGAAGUGGAAUUUCCGGUGUAGCGGUGAAAUGCGUAGAUAUCGAAAGGAACAUCAGUGGCGAAAGCGACUUCCUGGACCAAUACUGACGCUCAUGUGCGAAAGCGUGGGGAGCAAACAGG
rnacentral:rRNA from 1 species